AGAGAUAUAUACCAAGCUCAGAUUCGGAUAGGGGGUCAGCUUUUCACAAAUGUACAGAUAACACUUAAUCAAGCUGGAAGUUCCAUUAAUCCUAAUGUCUAUUUUAGUAUUCAGAGUAUAAACAAUGGCAUAUAUAUUCGUCUAAUUAGGACAAUUGACAGAGAUGGACCACCAGCUAUAAAUUCCUAUGACUUCCAGUUGCAGUGUGUUAGUGGAACUUCAGGGUCUGUAAGGACGUAUGACCUGACUGUCAACAUACUGGAUGCCAAUGAUAACGCCCCAGCAUACUCAGGAUUACCAUAUGGAACCAGUCUCAACGAGAUGGCACCAGUAGGAACAACAGUAUUUCGUAACAUCCAGGCCACUGAUAUCGAUCUCGGGGUCAACCAGGAUAUAUUGUAUGCUAUUGUUCCAUCGGGAACAGGAGAUUUG